rnacentral:rRNA from 1 species
AGUGAACGCUGGCGGUAGGCCUAACACAUGCAAGUCGAACGGCAGCACAGUAAGAGCUUGCUCUUACGGGUGGCGAGUGGCGGACGGGUGAGGAAUACAUCGGAAUCUACUUUUUCGUGGGGGAUAACGUAGGGAAACUUACGCUAAUACCGCAUACGACCUACGGGUGAAAGCAGGGGAACUUCGGACCUUGCGCGAUUGAAUGAGCCGAUGUCGGAUUAGCUAGUUGGCGGGGUAAAGGCCCACCAAGGCGACGAGCCGUAGCUGGACGGAGAGGAUGAUCAGCCACACUGGAACUGAGACACGGUCCUGACGCCUACGAGAGGCAGCAGUGUGGAAUAUUGGACAAUGGGCGCAAGCCUGAUCCAGUCAUACCGCGUGGGUGAAGAAGGCCUUCGGGUUGUAAAGCCCUUUUGUUGGGAAAGAAAAGCAGCAGGUUAAUACCCCGCUGUUCUGACGGUACCCAAAGAAUAAGCACCGGCUAACUUCGUG